rnacentral:misc_RNA from 1 species
GAUGAAGAACGCAGUAAAAUGCGAUAAGUAGUGUGAAUUGCAGAAUUCAGUGAAUCAUCGAAUCUUUGAACGCACAUUGCGCCCCUUGGUAUUCCAUGGGGCAUGCCUGUUCGAGCGUCAUUUGUACCUUCAAGCUUUGCUUGGUGUUGGGUGUUUGUCUCGCCUUUGCGUGUAGACUCGGCUUAAAAUAAUUGGCAGCCGGCGUAUUGAUUUCGGAGCGCAGUACAUCUCGCGCUUUGCACUCAUAACGACAGCGUCCAAAAGUACAUUUUACACUCUUGACCUCGGAUCAGGUAGGGAUACCCGCUGAACUUAAGCAUAUCAAUAAGCGGAGGA